rnacentral:rRNA from 1 species
CCCGGGGAAGACAACCAAUGGAUCUGUUAUGUAGCUUAUCCAUUAGACCUAUUUGAAGAGGGUUCUGUUACUAACAUAUUUACUUCCAUUGUAGGUAACGUAUUUGGUUUUAGAGCAUGUUCGGUCUUGGUCUUGUUACACCGAAAUGGCAACCUUUGCCUGAUGCCUCGGUACUCAGCGGAUGCGCUUGCCCCCCUUUGCACCAAAGGGGAAACAAGGACGCUGUGCACGGUGGUGCUCGCCUGGCACCCGCCUGGUGUCGAUCGUCACGGCUCAUGUCACGAGAACCUCGUGAGGUUCGCCUUGCCUUGA